ACCUGCGCGGGCGGCCGCAGGCUCUCUCCGGGACGGGACGGGACGGAAGCCCCAGCCCGCGGGCGGCGGGCGGAGUUAGUUGGAGGCUCCGGUUCCCUGGGCGGGCACAGGCUGAGCACGAGGCCGCCGUGGCUGCCCGGCUCCCUCCUCCCCGGUCACGCUCCGGGCUCCGGGACCUCCCGGUCCCUCCCCCUGGGGCGGCUCCCGGCUGCGCCCCAGCCUCCGCUCCGCCUCCAGCCCUCCCUGCCAGCCCAGCGCCCGGGAAGCGCGUGCCGGGUGUCCGGUGCGAGCCCGAGGGGCUGCGAGUCACCUGAGGAUCCCCCGAGAGCCUGGAGACGGCCAGGCCCGAACGUCUCUGGGGACGCGACGGAGUCCUGGGUCCUUUCAGGCCGGCUCGGUGCGGUGGCCGAGCCAGCUGCGUGGAGAGAGGCGGAGGACGUUGUUCCAGCUGCUCUCUGCCCGGCUCCGGGUUCCAAGGAUGUUUCCUGAGUAAACGGGGACCCCCCCCCCUCCUCUGCGCCCUCCGGGUUGGGGCUCUGCCAGGCCCUGUACACCGGGAGAUAGGACACUUGGAUUCGAACCCGUAGCAGAGGUGUAAUUUCAUUCGAAGUUACCUCCCCAGCCAGGUCCCCGAAUUUGGGCCACACGCUUAGGCUGCAGGCGGCUUUCGGGCCAGUACCCUAAGACCAGAGACUUUCAACUCCUGACUUCUCACCUCCACCUGCUCCUCAAGAUCAGUCAGUUUUGGUGUGCAGAGUCCUGUGCCAGCCACUAAAGUAAGCACACAGGCAGACCUGGUGCUGGAGAAGUUGCUGAGAGUCGAACAUCUUGACCUUCAAUCAACAGGAAGAAAACUGAGACAUGUUUGUAGAAAUCUAUUAAGGCAACAAUAGAGAAAUGCAAUCCAGAAUCUACUAUGAGCACUGUGGUCCAUGCCUCUUCACCUUUGGCUCUCAGCACCUCAUGUGGGAUUAACGUUAACAACAGUGAAAAGACGACCAAAGGAGCAUCUCAAGGACAGAAGUACUGAGCCAUGAGGUUUCUUAUUGUGCAGUUUUACCAGAAGCUUUAAUCUGGUUCUCUCAAAGGCUGCUUUCCACAAGUGUUUCCUCACAAUCUAAACCGGGUUUCAGCUGAGAUACUCAGCCACUUAUUACUGUCUACACAAUAAAUGCAAAUUCUUGGCACUUUUUGAAGAUCCUCAUAUUUACUUUUCUCAAAAGCUCUUUGUGCUAGGUCAGCCAGUUUCUGCAUUGUUGUCUGUUUCUCAUUCUUUAAUCCAUGUAUUCCUCUUUGCCCUUGGGAUUUUGUUACUUAAACUUCCCUGCCUAGAAUCCAUCCCUUGUCUCUCUGCACCUAAAUAGGAGUGGUUCUCCGGAAGUCACAUUGGUACCCACCCUUUCCUGUGGUUCAUACCCUGCUCAUUUCAUGGGCGUGUCUCACAGCUUCCCAGCACCAUCCAUGCCAUUCAUCAUAGGUGACAGCAAGACUGGG
rnacentral:lncRNA from 1 species